rnacentral:tRNA from 1 species
CAGAGAAUAGUUUAUAUAAAAUAUUAAUUUUGGGGAUUAAUGAUGAAGAGUUACUCUUUUUCUCUGA